AGCUUGUGUGUUGUGGGGCAGGUGACCAAUUGGGUAUCGUAUAUACGCCAGGUCUCUCAGAGUGCUUUUUCUUAUCUUUAUCAUUGCGUAAGGAACCAAAGAGGGUUGACGGCCUUUUCACCAAAAUUCUUUUCUUGGAUUUUCUGGCUAUAUCUCUUAUGGUGGUUGACCUGCUCAUCCGGUAUGGGACUUUCAGAAAAGUAUGUUGCUGGUCAAUGUGUGCACUGUGGGUCUUGCUUUGGAGAUUGUCUCUCGUUUUCUUAUGUAUUCUAUCCAGGAAUUGUUUGGUGUAUCCGUGGUCAAAUCCUAACUUGUAUAUGAAUUCAAUCUCUUGGGUCAGAAGGAGAGCGUCGGAUGAGUAUGUGUAUGCUCUUUUGAAAUAAAAAUUGAAGGC
rnacentral:lncRNA from 1 species